rnacentral:rRNA from 1 species
UACGUAGGCAGCGAGCGUUGUUCGGAAUUACUGGGCGUAAAGCGUGCGUAGGCGGUCGGCUAAGUUUGGUGUGAAAUCUCCCGGCUCAACCGGGAGGGUGCGCCGAAAACUGGCCGGCUAGAGUGCGGGAGAGGGAAGUGGAAUUCCUGGUGAAGCGGUGAAAUGCGUAGAUAUCAGGAGGAACACCGGUGGCGAAGACGGCUUCCUGGACCGUAACUGACGCUUAGGCGCGAAAGCGUGGGGAGCAAACAGG